GGAAAGCAAGCUCUGAGGAACAUCAACUCACUUGCCUUGUUCUCAAAUAUUGAAGUGAAUCCACGACCUGACGAGAAGAAUGAAGGCGGCAUUAUUGUUGAAAUUAAACUUAAAGAACUUGACCAAAAAACUGCCGAGGUCAGUUCAGAAUGGAGCAUUGUUCCUGGGCGUGGUGGACGCCCGACUUUGGCUUCACUGCAGCCUGGUGGAACAGUUACUUUUGAGCAUCGAAAUAUCAAGGGAUUAAAUCGAUCUAUUCUUGGUACUAUAACAACAAGUAACUUUUUCAAUCCUCAGGAUGAC
rnacentral:misc_RNA from 1 species